rnacentral:rRNA from 1 species
CGUAGGGGGCUAGCGUUGUCCGGAAUCAUUGGGCGUAAAGAGCGUGUAGGCGGCCCGGUAAGUCCGCUGUGAAAGUCGGGGGCUCAACCCUCGAAUGCCGGUGGAUACUGUCGGGCUAGAGUGCGGAAGAGGCGAGUGGAAUUCCUGGUGUAGCGGUGAAAUGCGCAGAUAUCAGGAGGAACACCGAUUGCGAAGGCAGCUCGCUGGGACGUAACUGACGCUGAGACGCGAAAGCGUGGGGAGCAAACAGGAUUAGAUACCCUGGUAGUUCACGCUGUAAACGAUGGGCACUAGGUGUGGGGGGUGUCGACUCCCUCCGUGCCGAAGCUAACGCAUUAAGUGCCCCGCCUGGGGAGUACGGCCGCAAGGCUA